rnacentral:lncRNA from 1 species
AGGACAAAGAUCACGGAGAUAGGGAGCAUAGUUAUUACGCCCAUCCAUUCAAUGGUGCUCGAGUCGGAAAACUAGGACUUUUUUCAAAUCCGGCUCCAGCCCCCCCUGCCAUUUUUGGUCCUUGAAGCUUCAGUUCAGCAAGUGGCUCUGAAGAGAGUGGGCAAGAGUAUUGGCAUUGGAUUCUUGAAGGAUACCUCAGUAUACCAGUAAGUUUUUUUUUUGCUUGACCUGUUUCUUCAAACUCUCGCUUCCUUUACACGUUUCUGGAUGGAAUCAAGUGCGGAAUCUGCAGAUUGGUUCAGGUUGUUGAAACAGUAUUUUUUUGUGUGUGUUGUUUUUCGAAUGAGAUGUGACCAAAUGCUUUCUCUUUUGUGUUGUUCUAAUAAGGAAGAAUCUGUUCUUAUCAUUCCCCUUUUCUUUUGAAUCUUUGGUAGGGACAUGAGGAGCUCCAGAUCAUGCCGCGCUUUCCAGCAGAAGCACCGAGCUU